UACGAGAGGCCCAAACGUUAUUCGGAAUUACUGGGCUUAAAGAGUUCGUAGGCGGCGCAGAAAGUAGGGUGUGAAAGCCCUCGGCUUAACCGAGGAAUUGCGCUCUAAACUACUGUGCUUGAGGAACCUAGAGGUGAGCAGAACUGAUGGUGGAGCGGUGAAAUGCGUUGAUAUCAUCAGGAAUACCGGGGGCGAAGGCGGCUCACUGGGGGUUUUCUGACGCUGAGGAACGAAAGCCAGGGGAGCGAACGGG
rnacentral:rRNA from 1 species